rnacentral:rRNA from 1 species
GACGAACGCUGGCGGCGUGCUUAACACAUGCAAGUCGAACGGUAAGGCUCCAGCUUGCUGGGGUACACGAGUGGCGAACGGGUGAGUAACACGUGGGUGACCUGCCCUGCACUUCGGGAUAAGCCUGGGAAACUGGGUCUAAUACCGGAUAGGACCGCACCGUGAGGGUGUGGUGGAAAGUUUUUUCGGUGUGGGAUGGGCCCGCGGCCUAUCAGCUUGUUGGUGGGGUAAUGGCCUACCAAGGCGGCGACGGGUAGCCGGCCUGAGAGGGUGGACGGCCACAUUGGGACUGAGACACGGCCCAGACUCCUACGGGAGGCAGCAGUGGGGAAUAUUGCACAAUGGGCGGAAGCCUGAUGCAGCGACGCCGCGUGGGGGAUGACGGCCUUCGGGUUGUAAACUCCUUUCACCAUCGACGAAGGGUUUCUGACGGUAGAUGGAGAAGAAGCACCGGCUAACUACGUGCCAGCAGCCGCGGUAAUACGUAGGGUGCGAGCGUUGUCCGGAAUUACUGGGCGUAAAGAGCUCGUAGGUGGUUUGUCGCGUCGUCUGUGAAAUUCCGGGGCUUAACUCCGGGCGUGCAGGCGAUACGGGCAUAACUUGAGUACUGUAGGGGAGACUGGAAUUCCUGGUGUAGCGGUGAAAUGCGCAGAUAUCAGGAGGAACACCGGUGGCGAAGGCGGGUCUCUGGGCAGUAACUGACGCUGAGGAGCGAAAGCAUGGGGAGCGAACAGGAUUAGAUACCCUGGUAGUCCAUGCCGUAAACGGUGGGCGCUAGGUGUGGGUUUCCUUCCACGGGAUCCGUGCCGUAGCUAACGCAUUAAGCGCCCCGCCUGGGGAGUACGGCCGCAAGGCUAAAACUCAAAGGAAUUGACGGGGGCCCGCACAAGCGGCGGAGCAUGUGGAUUAAUUCGAUGCAACGCGAAGAACCUUACCUGGGCUUGACAUAUACAGGAUCGCGCCAGAGAUGGUGUUUCCCUUGUGGCUUGUAUACAGGUGGUGCAUGGUUGUCGUCAGCUCGUGUCGUGAGAUGUUGGGUUAAGUCCCGCAACGAGCGCAACCCUUGUCUUAUGUUGCCAGCACGUUGUGGUGGGGACUCGUAAGAAACUGCCGGGGUUAACUCGGAGGAAGGUGGGGACGACGUCAAAUCAUCAUGCCCCUUAUGUCCAGGGCUUCACACAUGCUACAAUGGUCGGUACAGUGGGUUGCCAGUCCGUGAGGGCGAGCUAAUCCCGCAAAGCCGGUCUCAGUUCGGAUCGGGGUCUGCAACUCGACCCCGUGAAGUCGGAGUCGCUAGUAAUCGCAGAUCAGCAACGCUGCGGUGAAUACGUUCCCGGGCCU